AGCAGCCGCGGUAAUUCCAGCUCCAAUAGCGUAUAUUAAAGUUGUUGCAGUUAAAAAGCUCGUAGUUGAAUUUCGGGAUCAGCGCGUCGGUCGUGCCUCCGGUAUGCACUGGCGCCGCUGGUUUCUCCCUUCUGAGGAACCGUGAUGUCAUUAAUUUGGUGUUGCGGGAAAUCAGGACUGUUACUUUGAAAAAAUUAGAGUGUUUAAAGCGGGCACGCGCUUGAAUACAUUAGCAUGGAAUAACGAAAUAGGACGUUCGAUCUUAUUUUGUUGGUUUCUAGGAUUGACGUAAUGAUUAAUAGGGAUAGUUGGGGGCAUUAGUAUUCAAUUGUCAGAGGUGAAAUUCUUGGAUUUAUUCGAAGACUAACUACUGCGAAAGCAUUUGCCAAGGAUGUUUUCAUUAAUCAAGAACGAAAGUUAGGGGAUCGAAGACGAUCAGAUACCGUCGUAGUCUUAACCAUAAACUAUGCCGACUAGGGAUCGGAUGAUGUUAAUUUUAUAAUGA
rnacentral:rRNA from 1 species